rnacentral:rRNA from 1 species
CGAACGCUGGCGGCGUGCUUCACACAUGCAAGUCGAACGGAAAGGCCCUGCUUUUGUGGGGUGCUCGAGUGGCGAACGGGUGAGUAACACGUGAGUAACCUGCCCUUGACUUUGGGAUAACUUCAGGAAACUGGGGCUAAUACCGGAUAGGAGCUCCUGCUGCAUGGUGGGGGUUGGAAAGUUUCGGCGGUUGGGGAUGGACUCGCGGCUUAUCAGCUUGUUGGUGGGGUAGUGGCUUACCAAGGCUUUGACGGGUAGCCGGCCUGAGAGGGUGACCGGCCACAUUGGGACUGAGAUACGGCCCAGACUCCUACGGGAGGCAGCAGUGGGGAAUAUUGCACAAUGGGCGGAAGCCUGAUGCAGCAACGCCGCGUGCGGGAUGACGGCCUUCGGGUUGUAAACCGCUUUCGCCUGUGACGAAGCGUGAGUGACGGUAAUGGGUAAAGAAACACCGGCUAACUACGU